rnacentral:lncRNA from 1 species
UCUGGUGAUUGCAGCUGAGAGCACACUCACGACGUUCUGCAAGGAUUCUCUGAUUAUGAUUCUGAAGGGAAAAGCGAUGGAAUGGACAGCAGAGAUUGUAAUUUUCUUUAUCUUGAAUUACGGAAGAAAGUAUCUAGGACAGAAAUCCACGACAAGUCCUUGGAACCAGCAGAUCUCUUCGUUCACGGAGACGUUGACGUAUUCUCUAUUGAAGAAGAUUCUUACCUUCUUACUGGACAAGGUUUUGUCAGUUCUGCGUGACUGGAUUGUCCGGGAGACUCUGAGGAAACUGAUGUCACAUGUUUUUCCAAAGAAGAUGUUUCUGGAACCAACAACUGUGAUUGUGGUUUGAGGACUUCUGAGAGUUCCAGUACAGGAAAUAAGCAGAACAUCAGCUGGAGGCUAAACGGAUCCAGACUUCACUCUUCACUUCCCUUCCUAUUCAGUCUAUUGUGCCUGCUGACUGAGAAGCUUGGCUGGUAUGUGAGCAAAUAAACGGAACUAUUCAGAAGGAGAUGUUGACAUAUUCUGUAUUGAAGAAGAUCCUUAUCUUCUCACCUGACAAGGUUUUGUCAGUUCUGUGUGACUGGAUUGUCCGGAAGACUCUGAGGAAACUGAUGUCACAUGUUUUUCCAAAGAAGAUGUUUCUGGAACCAACAACUGUGAUUGUGGUUUGAGGACGCCUGGGAGUUCCGGUAUGCGAAAUAAGCAGAACAUCAGCUGGCGGCUGAAGGGAUGCAGCCUCCACUCUUCACUUCCCUUGCCAUUCCAUCUAUUGUGUCUGCCUGACUGAGAAGCUUGGCUGGUAUGUGAGGAAAUAAACGGAAUUAUAAACAAGGAGAUUGUUUCUCAUCUACUUCAUUCUGUUGUGGCUUUUCUAUUUUGGGGUUCAGGGUGUGUGACAAGGACCAAGGAGAUGAAAGGUUUCAUGAUGGAGAAAGCCCAGGCAAUCAGAUUGAAGAGCUAUCCACAGGGAAUCUUGGCUGCUGAGGGGCUGCACCCUGCAACGGACUGACCAUAUGACAGAAAAGGGUUUUAAAGGCUCAACUUCUGGACUGAGAACCCAGAGUAAUUUGGGAACCUCCUCUGUGAGGAGAUAUGAAAGCUGGGAAUCAUGACAUCCCUAGGAAUGGAAGGCACAUUUCCUGAUGGAAGGGGUGCUUUGGAAAACAGGAGCAGAGUAGACACAGCAGCCUUGUGGAUACGGGUGGGCAGCAUGCAUGGGUGAUGUGAACGUGGAGUGUUUGUGAUCGAAACUCAAAAUGUCUGACAAAGUGAAAACCUAGAAACCACAAUGAGGAGGAAGAGUUUGUGAGGGCAAUCACUCUCCCCAUGUGUGAAAAUCGGGGGCUCUUAAAAUCUCAUCUGGAGAGGUGCAGUCUACCAAACUCUGGGACUUUAGCCUCCCCUUUUAAAAAACCGUGCAUCAAUACCAACGUCCGAAACCACAGAAAUAACACCUGGCUUGCAUGGAGACAAGGACAAAAAGCCGUCAUGAUGAGUUGUUCUGCUCACUUGCUGCCUCUGUUCAGUGCACAGGAUAUUGUCCACCCACUAGCAGGCUACUGCAAGAGAAGUGUGCAAUAUGUUCCCUAUGUGCCAUAUAUGUGCCAUAUGGCCCAUAUGACAACUGAGUCAGAAAAUAUCUGAUGCCCUCAGAGUUACACUCCACCUGGAGCUUGCCCCCAGCCAUCCAGGACCUAGGCUCCCUACCCUGUCCAAUUUUCUGGUGUUUUGGGGGCUUCAUUCUCUAAGGUGUGCCCACUCUUUACUCAAACCAAAACACCCACAUAUUCCUGCCCAUGAACAACCAAUCAACCACUUCUCAGUUCCACAUCCUGCUGUUGGGUCUCUAGUGGUGACACUGUAACUCCCAGGUCAUAGUGGUGACACUAUAACACCUAGCUAAAUUGAUGCCUUGUCUCUAGGAGGCCAUGGGCUCCUGCAGGUCUCAUCUGACUCUCUGUAGCCUUCCCUGACAAUGCUCACAAUACCCAAGCCAGAGCCACAUUGACAGCAAGCUGCUCUCAUCUUACCUUUGCCAGACCUGGCCACUGGAAAAGGCUGACCCUCAUCCUGCAAUGCCUAUACCUCCAACCUUUGUCUCAAGCUGGUGUCCUGGAGGGACUUCUAAGCAGAAAACAGAUUCAGACUCCCAUCCUCUCCUGAAUGGCCUCAUAUCCAAUUCUCAGACCCUCAGCCCUCAUUGUAAGGACACUUCAUCCAUGCCCUUGAGUAUUCUGUCUGCACUGUGUAUUCUGCAAUAGAUUCUCCUCCCUCUGCGACCCUCAACUCCUUCCGCAGACUUUUUGUUUUCUUGAUCAUCUACCAUAGUCUUCCACUGGGACACUGCCAAGCCCAUUCUGGAGAGCUGGAGUGUAGUGGUGUGAUCUUGGCUCACUGGAACCUCCGUCUCCCAGGUUCAAGCAAUUCUCCU